GACGAACGCUGGCGGCGUGCUUAACACAUGCAAGUCGAACGAAGCAUGUACGACAGAAGGCUUCGGCCGGACGAUGUACAUGACUGAGUGGCGGACGGGUGAGUAACGCGUGAGCAACCUGCCUUUAAGAGGGGGACAACUUAGGGAAACUUAAGCUAAUACCGCAUAACAUAUGUGAAUCGCAUGGUUUACAUAUCAAAGAUUUAUCGCUUAAAGAUGGGCUCGCGUCCGAUUAGGUAGUUGGUGAGGUAACGGCUCACCAAGCCGACGAUCGGUAGCCGACCUGAGAGGUGAUCGGCCACAUUGGAACUGAGACACGGUCCAAACUCCUACGGGAGGCAGCAGUGGGGAAUAUUGCACAAUGGGCGAAAGCCUGAUGCAGCAACGCCGCGUGAGCGAAGAAGGCUCGGUGUAAG
rnacentral:rRNA from 1 species